CGCCGCCUUAUAGAUCCUUGUAGAGGAAGCUCGAGCAAGCAAGAAACAGCGAACGCCUAUUGCUGUCGGACACGCAAGUGUAUAUUUCUUCUUAGAUCGUCGCCGAAACAUUCAAGAUUGCAGACAUGAGCUAUGGUCGGGGCCCCCCCGAUAUCAAGGGGAUGACGUCGCUCAAGGUGGACAAUCUCACCUAUAGAACGACGCCAGAAGACUUGCGGCGUUCCUUCGAGAAAUAUGGCGAGAUUGGAGACGUGUACAUCCCGCGAGACAGGUUUUCUCGCGAGAGCAGAGGCUUCGCCUUUGUUAGAUAUUAUGAUCGCCGAGAUGCAGAAGAUGCAAUGGAAGCAAUGGAUGGUCGACGCCUUGAUGGCCGAGAGCUGAGAGUACAGAUGGCCCGCUAUGGCCGCCCAGAAACCCCUCCACAUCGAAGACGCCGCCGACGGUACUCGGACAAUUCCAGGUCGAGGUCGAGGUCACGUUCUCGUUCAAGGUCACGCAGGAGAAGUCGCAGGUCACGAUCGCGUUCAAGGUCAAGGUCACGCUCCCGCAGGAGGCACUCUAGAUCAAGGUCUGGCAGCCACUCACGCUCCCGCUCGCGUUCAAGGUCACACUCUGGAAGCAAGAGCCGUUCCCGCAGCCCAGAAGAACGUGAAUCGAAGUCCCCAGAAAAGCAAGAUAAGGAGAAUGGAAUGGAUGAGGCAGCUGCUAUGGAGGAAGAGCAAAUGGACCGAUCUCAUUCACGUUCUAAGUCCCGAUCACGUUCAAGAUCUCGAUCUAAGUCUAGGUCAAGAUCUAAGUCGCGUAGCAAGUCCAGGUCCAGGUCACGCUCAAGGUCUGUGGAGUGAGAUGCACUGAACUGGAUGUUGCAUCCUAUCAUCAACAAUCAACUAAAUCACUGCAUCACAAGAAGACUUCUCAAUUCCUGUCCAGAUUUUUGCAGUACUGGCAUGCUGGGCAGGGCGUGGCAGUUGUUGCUGUUGCUGUUGUGUUGCUGUGGAGUAUGGCGGGUUGCUGUAGUGCGGUGUUAUGGCGGGAGCCGAGGCAGAGCCAGUCAGGCAUGCAGCCGACGGGGGGGCCGCAAGGCACAGUACGGGCACGCAGGGCACCAAACCACUCCACCUUACUCAUUAACAAACCUGUCAUUAUCCCAUACUGUCCUGCUUCACUCUUUAUUUUGUUUUAAUUGUUUUCUUUCUAAUGUUGUCUCCCUUGUACAUUUACUCCCUACAAAUUUUUUAGUUACACUUGCCUCCCUCAAAAAGUGCAGUUCAUUAGAAAACUGUCACAAUAAUGACCUCAACAUUCCUCAGAAAAAUACCUUCUCUGCCUGUCAUGUUGAAAUGAUUGGUACUGUUAGUAACAAGUGUACUAACUGAUUUAUCCUGUCCUGAGUGCUGACACUGUGGUGCCCUGUGAUGCUGUGGAGGCGACUGGCAGCUGUGUGCGGGCACCUGAGAGUGGUGACUCGCUGCAGCUGUGGUAACCCUUGCAACGCUAGUGAUGAAGGGUGGGAGGGUUAUAAAAACACUGGCUUUCACAGGUCAUUGAAGAAAAGUUUAAUCGAAAGUAGUCGUCUUGUUAUUAUUAUUUUCAUUAUUAUUAUUACUUUUACUAUUACGUAAAUUGUGAUAGUUGAAGUAAUGAUGAUAGUUAAUAAUAAUAAAUUUUAUUUAUAUCCUUUUUAUCAGCGCAGUUAUUUUCAUGUUGGAAGUGUAUUAUAUAUUUAUUUUUCUCAUUUGGUUAAGCUAUAUUCGUUUUCAUAUUUUUCAUAAUGAAUUUUUUUUUUUCUUUCACUUGUACUCUUUACUAGCUAAUCCUUGGAUUAGGUCUCUGCCUAAUGCAAUGAUUAUAGUUGAGAGCCUUGGUGUAUUAAGCAUAUAUUUAUUUUAUAUUUGUUUAUUUACUUAGAUUUAUUUUUAUAUUCAUUUUCUUGUUUUUUAUUUAUAAUUAUGAAUAUUCACUUUCAGGUUUGGUUUCGUGUUUACAUGAAACCUUUUGUGACUGGGUUACUUGUAGUUGGGAAGUUUGGAUGCCUAAUUAGUAGGCAUAAUACAUUAUUUUACAAGCCUGCUGUUUGAAAUUUAGGAUUUUAACUUUCUUUUUCAGGUGAUGCUAAAAAUUGUGCAAGACCACCCUUCAUAAGGUGUUUAAAUUUUUUUUUUAUAUUCUAGCUGUUAAAUGUUAAUUGGAUAUAAGUAGAAGAUUUGACUUUCGAUUUUGCAGAUUGCAUGGGUAAUGCUAUGGAUGCAAAUACAUAAACUUCCUCUACUCUAUGAUUUUGAAUUGCAGUAUUUGCAACACUAACAAUAUCUUGCAGAUCAAGACACAUAUUCAUGAACUUAAUUUGGUAAUUUAAGUUGAACGUUUUUAUCAUUAUCAUAAUAAUUAUUAAUGAUUGAUUAUUAUCUGUGGAAGAUUAGAUUUUUAUUCAGGUUUACUUCCGUUUAGUGAUAUUUAAAUUGAAGAAUGUAGGGGUACACUGACGUCACAAAAAAUACAGCACUCGGAAUUUUAAAAGAUCAAAAAUAAAAAUUCAGUUCACUUUCUCUCAUAGACCACAUGGGAUAAUUAAGUUUAUCUAGUAAUAUUUAUAAUUGAAACUAACAACCCUUAUAAUUUAUUGAAAAGACAGGAAUUUAGCUGUGCAAUAUUUAAUAUCAUGAAAAUCUUGUCAGUCAAAAAGGUUAUCUCAAAGUAUACAAAGUCUACAUCCCGUUACUUUAAGCUGUAUGAAAGAUUUUGACGAAAAUAAAUUUAGCUGUAUCAAGUAAUUAAAGUUUACAAUAUUGAAGUCGUCAAAGAACCAUUACAGGCAAAGAAUAUCAAUAAACGACACUUUUUUGCACAUAUAUAACCACUUUCGUUUGAACUUUAGUAUAAGGUUUGAAAAGGCUGCUUUUGUGGGUUACAAUUAUUCUGAGGUAAGUACAUAUAAUCCUUAAUAAACGGUUGCUUGAA
rnacentral:misc_RNA from 1 species